GGCCGCGUAGCCGAGUGGUUCAGGCAGCAGACUGCAAAUCUGCGAACGGGGGUUCGAUUCCCCCCGCGGCCU
rnacentral:tRNA from 1 species